CAUUGAAACACCUGUUCCCAUAUUAUCUCUGAAGUUAAGCAACGUCGAGCGUGGUCAGUGCCUAGAUGGAUGACCGUUUGGGAAUACCAAUUGCUGUAAG